rnacentral:rRNA from 1 species
UAAGCGGAGGAAAAGAAAAUAACAAUGAUUCCCUUAGUAACUGCGAGUGAAGGGGGAUAAGCUCAAAUUUUAAAUCUGUUAGGUUUACCUGACCGAAUUGUAAUUUGAAGAGGGCGUUUUCCGGAUUGAUUUAGCCUAAGUUUUUUGGGAUAAAAUAUCAUGGAGGGUGAGAAUCCCGUGUGGCUAGAUUGUUUCCUUUACGAUACGUCUUCAAAGAGUCAAGUUGUUUGGGAAUGCAGCUUAAAAUGGGAGGUAAAUUUCUCCUAAGGCUAAAUAUUGGCGAGAGACCGAUAGCGAACAAGUACCGUGAGGGAAAGAUGAAAAGAAUUUUGAAAAGAGAGUUAAACAGUACGUGAAAUUGUUGAAAGGGAAACGAUUGAAGUCAGUCAUGCUAAUAGGGAAUCAACAUGAUGGUGUGUUAAUUCAUUAGUACGCUUUCUUGUGUACUUCCUUAUUUGGCAGGUUAGCAUCAAUUUUGGUCAUCAUAAAAAAUUUGAAGGAAAUGUGGCUUCCUUCGGGAAGUGUUUAUAGACCUUAAUAUAUGUGGUGACCGGGAUUGAGGAUUGCAGCGAAUGCUUUUGGCUAGUCACCUUCCUUCUGACGGUCACCCCGCUUCUGAUAGCAUGCUAACUUUGGUGGGACACGGAAGUCUUAGAGGGCGGAGUGAUCUUAAAUUCGCUAAGGAUGCUGACGUAAUGGCUUUAAACGACCCGUCUUGAAACACGGACCAAGGAGUCUAGCAUAAUAUGCGAGUGUU